GGAGUGGUACUUCAGUUGGUUAGAAUACCGGCCUGUCACGCCGGGGGUCGCGGGUUCGAGUCCCGUCCACUCCGCCA
rnacentral:tRNA from 1 species